rnacentral:rRNA from 1 species
AUUGAACGCUGGCGGCAUGCUUUACACAUGCAAGUCGAACGGUAACAGGCCGCAAGGUGCUGACGAGUGGCGAACGGGUGAGUAAUGCAUCGGAACGUGCCCAGUCGUGGGGGAUAACGCAGCGAAAGCUGCGCUAAUACCGCAUACGAUCUAUGGAUGAAAGCGGGGGACCGUAAGGCCUCGCGCGAUUGGAGCGGCCGAUGUCAGAUUAGGUAGUUGGUGGGGUAAAGGCUCACCAAGCCAACGAUCUGUAGCUGGUCUGAGAGGACGACCAGCCACACUGGGACGGGGACACGGGCCAGACUCCUACGGGAGGCAGCAGUGGGGAAUUUUGGACAAUGGGCGAAAGCCUGAUCCAGCAAUGCUGCGUGCAGGAAGAAGGCCUUCGGGUUGUAAACUGCUUUUGUACGGAACGAAACGGUCCUGGUUAAUACCCGGGGCUAAUGACGGUACCGUAAGAAUAAGCACCGGCUAACUACGUGCCAGCAGCCGCCGUAACAC